CAGCCUGAACAGCCAGCUCAGUGACGUACUCCAGCCUGAUGGAGGCGCUCUCUCCUGGACGCAGACUGCCCACACUCAGAGAGAAUAUAUCUGGACUCUGAUCACUCUCCUCCAACAGGAAGACCUCCCUACCAGAGCUCAAAGCGUCAUCAUACUCCUCAUGAGCCUGGAGAACAGAUGGCACAUCUACAAUCUCUGUCUGCCCAAUCUUAGCACUGAAGUGACAGACAGCAGCAUCUCCAGGCAGAGGGAAGACAAAAACAGCCUCCAGUGGUUUGUCCUCCUUGUUCUCAUAGUUCAGAGUGGAGACCACUGUAGCCACAUGGUCCCUCACCUCCAGCUCCACCUCCACGCUCUUCAGAGGAACUGACCAAGAAACAGAAGGAAACACAACUUAGUUUCCUUUGUAGUAGCUCUGUACCUGGUUUCUCCUGGCAAGAUCGCAGACCACAGCAAUUCAACAUCGGACCAUGGGACUUAAUGGUCACAUUUCUCAUUGGACAUCCCAGCAACCAACAUCCCCAUAUAAGGUAACUCAUC